rnacentral:tRNA from 1 species
CAGGGAGACAUAAACUGAUUAUGAUGUCUGAUUUAUAAAUUUAGGCCGUAAUCUGUCGCUUUAGGUCGAUCGGUACCUCAGAUUAUUAACUGUGAAAUUGAGAAAUCACUUAUCAUUAGUCUUUUAAUUUCAGUUCCUAAACUGUCUAGGUCACACCCAACAAACUUUCUCCUGGGCUAUUAGCUCAGGCGGUUAGAGCGCACCCCUGAUAAGGGUGAGGUCCCUGGUUCAAGUCCAGGAUGGCCCAUUCGGUGUUGGGGGUUUAGCUCAGUUGGUAGAGCGCCUGCUUUGCAAGCAGGAUGUCAGCGGUUCGAGUCCGCUAACCUCCACUGACCAAAACCUCCAGGCAUAAAGCUGAUGGAGGUAAUUCUUGUGAGAGGUGAUCUAGAGAUUAGAUUGUGUUGAUCUGGUAGAACCCAGCUUCCUUUCAUUUCAGAACUCAGCAAUGAUGAACAACAUUGUUUGAGAGUUGGUUGAAACGAUGCUGGGCUCACUGUGAUUCGAAAGAAUUGCAGAGAUGUUCAGCAGAACCUUGACAACUGCAUAGGUGUGUCUGGAAAGAAUAAAGCAUCUCAUGGAUGCAUUAUUCUUGCUUUUUCUUAUUGAGAAGAAGUCAAGAAUAGUGUUUAAAUUCUUGAGUCAAGAGCCGAGACUCCAUAACGUUCUUUUGAUGAUGUCGAGUCAUUAAGAGUUUGAUUGAUGAUUCAAUCCAAACUUAAGUUUUCAGGAGCUAUUGACUUAGCGAUUGAGCUUAAAAAAGGAGAAUCAUUGAGAAUAUGUGUUCAACCACAUCAAGCGUGAUGGAGAUUAAUU